UACGGAGGGAGCUAGCGUUAUUCGGAAUUACUGGGCGUAAAGCGCACGUAGGCGGCUUUGUAAGUUAGAGGUGAAAGCCUGGAGCUCAACUCCAGAAUAGCCUUUAAGACUGCAUCGCUUGAAUCCAGGAGAGGUGAGUGGAAUUCCGAGUGUAGAGGUGAAAUUCGUAGAUAUUCGGAAGAACACCAGUGGCGAAGGCGGCUCACUGGACUGGUAUUGACGCUGAGGUGCGAAAGCGUGGGGGAGCAAACAGG
rnacentral:rRNA from 1 species